GCCAAUUUCCACGUAAAAAAUCCGGCAAUCAAAUGCCCUAACAGCCUAAAAUGUGUCCUCUUUUUUCUUUUUUCGGCAAUUCCCCCGCCCCUGUUUCUUCCCUUUCGUCAAACGACAGGCUAGCUUUAAUCGAACACCUCCGUGACCGAUUCUGGUCAUCUUCUUCCCAGUUCCGGAAAAGCAAAUUCCAAGUGAUUACCAUAAAACAUCCUCAUCCCACCGGAAUAAAGCCAUCCUCAUUUCCUUUCGCCCUAAAACAAACUUCGUUGUGAUUCUUCAACCCGAGAUUCAUUCAAGACAUAACAGGAAUCUUUGAGAAGGCUAAAAUUAAGGGGAAGGAUGUCCAAAUCUUGCAAAGGCUUAGCGAUGGAACUGGUCAAGUGUCUCAGCGAAUCUGAUUGUGUAAAGGUUCAGAAUCGAACUUACAGGGAAUGUGCUGGAGAGAAGAGUCCUUGCAUACCUAGCGAGUGUGUGGGAUUAAGGGAAACAUAUUUCAAUUGUAAAAGAGGCCAGGUUGACAUGAGGGCGAGGAUUCGAGGGAACAAAGGUUAUUGAAUGAGGGGUGGAGCUGAGCAAUUCCAUGAAAAGAAGUUUGAAACUUCGAAUUUGAAUGCCUGGAAAUUUGUCUGCAAUGACCUUGUUAUAGGUUUUUUACCAUUAUACAAGUACAUACGCUACUAGAAGAAGGAAGGGACUGUUUUGGGUGCUAAGAUAAUAUAGGAUGUAGGGAGCUUUGAUGUUUGGAGAAUUCUGAUCGAGUAUGAACGAUUGAGUAUGUUCAAGCACUGAGAUGAUAUAUGAUACACAGAAUGAAAAUGACUGUGAGAUACGAAAGACGUUCUGAAAAUGGGCUCACAAACAAUUAAAAUCGUUGAGAUAAGAUAAUGGCUUCCAAACACUGAGAUGAUAUAAGAUGUGGGGAUAUACCAUCUCAUGUUGGGUUCCGAAACAACCCCUACAUUUUCUUAUCUUAAUUUUUUUAUUGAAUUAUUCGGGUUAGAUUGUGUGAUAGGAUUACAUUAAUUUAUGUGUGUAAGGUGUUACUUCCAUUACUUAUAUUGUUCUUGCUUUCAAA